rnacentral:rRNA from 1 species
UGUGAGCUCGAUGAGUAGGGCGGGACACGUGGUAUCCUGUCUGAAUAUGGGGGGACCAUCCUCCAAGGCUAAAUACUCCUGACUGACCGAUAGUGAACCAGUACCGUGAGGGAAAGGCGAAAAGAACCCCGGCGAGGGGAGUGAAAAAGAACCUGAAACCGUGUACGUACAAGCAGUGGGAGCCUCUUAAUGAGGUGACUGCGUACCUUUUGUAUAAUGGGUCAGCGACUUAUAUUCUGUAGCAAGGUUAACCGAAUAGGGGAGCCGAAGGGAAACCGAGUCUUAACUGGGCGUUAAGUUGCAGGGUAUAGACCCGAAACCCGGUGAUCUAGCCAUGGGCAGGUUGAAGGUUGGGUAACACUAACUGGAGGACCGAACCGACUAAUGUUGAAAAAUUAGCGGAUGACUUGUGGCUGGGGGUGAAAGGCCAAUCAAACCGGGAGAUAGCUGGUUCUCCCCGAAAGCUAUUUAGGUAGCGCCUCGUGAAUUCAUCUCCGGGGGUAGAGCACUGUUUCGGCAAGGGGGUCAUCCCGACUUACCAACCCGAUGCAAACUGCGAAUACCGGAGAAUGUUAUCACGGGAGACACACGGCGGG